rnacentral:rRNA from 1 species
GUCUUUCUGAUAAUAAUUCAAAGUCGGGCCUGCCCAAUGACUAGUUUAAUGGCCGCGGUAUAUUAACUGUGCAAAGGUAGCAUAAUAAUUAGUUUUUUAAUUGAGAGCUGGAAUGAAGGGUUUAAUGAAAAAAGUUCUGUCUUUAGCUAAAUUUAUUAGAAAUUUAUUUUUGAGUAAAAAAGCUUAAAUUUUUAUUGAAGACGAGAAGACCCUAUAGAGUUUUAUAUCUGGAAAGCUUAUUUUAUUUAGAAUUUUUAAGUUAAGAUUUUAUGAUAUUUAAUUGGGGUGAUUAAAAAAUUAAAAAAACUUUUUUUUAAAAUAAACAUUUAUUUAUGAUUAUAUGAUCCUUUUUUUAGAUUAUAAGAUUAAAUUACCUUAGGGAUAACAGCGUAAUUUUUCUUAGAGUUCUUAUCGAAAGAAAAGAUUGCGACCUCGAUGUUGGAUUAAAAUGAAUUAUUGGUGUAGAAGCUGAUAUUAUUAGGUCUGUUCGACCUUUAAAAUUUUACAUGAUCUGAGUUUAGACCGGUUUAAG